rnacentral:lncRNA from 1 species
CAGCCGUGCAUUUGGAUCCUUCACUUUUUGACCAACCACAACUCUUUAAUCCUUGGAGAUGGCAGGUCGGUCGGUUCCCUUUUGUUUUUCGCUCAAUUUGGGCAUUCUUAGUGGAGUAGUAUAUACUACAACUAGAUCAUAGUGGAGCAUAUAUUAGAGUUAAAAAAAAGAGAGGGAAAUUAUAAAUUUUAGUAACAUAUAUGUUUUUGGUCGGUACUUACAGAAUACUAAUGGUGGAUCCACAUCCACAGCCUCAACAGCAGCAGGCAAUAUCUAUAUGCCAUUCGGGGGAGGACCACGACUCUGCGCAGGAUUGGAACUGGCAAAAUUGGAGAUGGCUAUUUUCAUCCACCAUUUAGUACUCAACUUCCAUUGGGAGUUAGCUG